GAAAGUGGAGAUGGAGACCUGGCAUGGCAUGGCAAGGCAAAUGCUGAGGCCACAGAGUGCUUUAUAUGAACCUUCCAGAUUGCAAAUGGAGAGUGAAUGCUAAGUUUAUGCGAUGGAAUAAAGGCAAUAUAUUCCUUUUUCUUAUUUCAGAUUUUAUGAAAAUAAAACACUCUUAUCUUUUUCAUUUAAAACUAUAAAAUGGGUCAAUGGGUAGCUGGUGAAUAGUGGUGAGUAGCAGCCUUGUCGUUGGGGUUGCACUGACAAGGGUUUCAUCCUCUCCCAGGCUUCCAGCGAUUAAGGGCAUGGAAUUCAUAUUUGAGUUCCUGUUCGAGCGAUUAAGAUCUCAGACAACAUUCAAGCUGGAAUCAUUGGGCUCUACGAAACCGGAGGAGUUUGGAAACACAACCCUCUUGUUAAAAUCAACGAUGCUUUUCUCCGAGCAAACCGUGAUUUUGAUUUGGUGAUCUGGGUUCUGGUAUUUGGGGAAUUAAAUAUUGGAACAGAUCUGCCGGAAUCAAAUCGGUGAUAAGUCGGGGUUGACAAGAAACCAGCAGAUCCAACUUAUCACCGAUUUGCUUUCGAAUCAGGUCCAUAUUUAAUUCCCUAAAGACAUGAAAUACCCCAAAUAACCAUAUCAAAAUUCGAUCUGCUCGCAGAGGGCAGAGGCGUUGUUGAUUGUUUUCAAGAGGGUUAUCUUUCCAACCCUCCUGAUGUGGUGUCAUUAGAGUCCAAUAAUUCCAGCUUGAUGUUCUCUGAAGUACUGCACAUCUUCUCAAACAUCAAAUCCACGACCUUAAUCGUUCUGAGGGGAAUUUCUUCUCCGGAAAGCCACAUCACCGAAAUUGUUGGUUUUCUGACUCCAAAUGCAGACAAUCUGCUUUCCGGAACGGCCGUUUCUUCGUGGUAUCGGCGUUGAUCCUCACGGCAGUUUUUUGUUUCCUCUAUCUGCAAAGUUUUAGCAAUAUUCCUGCCUUUUUCUGACCAAUUUCCGCCUCAGAGAUGCUAUAGGAGUGAUACAUAUGAACCUAUCGCUAUCGCUUGUAAACGGGACGAUUGGCAAAAUAUGAUCUUGGAUUGGGCUUUACGCCAAAGAAUUUUCAUACGCUCUCAGCUUGACUUCCUAACCAUGGUUCCCCUUGCUUUCUAACAUCAGUUACAUUUAUUUAUUUAUUUAUUGCUAUAUUUUUCUGAUUAUAGCAUCAUUUCUCAAUCCAAAUGGAAAAGUAAAGCUAUCCCAGAGUUAAGUUCUUUGUGUGGAGAGUCUUCCAUGAUAGUCUCCCUGUUACGAGCAACCUACUACAGAGAAGGAAAGUGAGUGAGUUCAACUUCUAACUGUCCUCUGUCGAAACCUUACUGAGUUGACCAUACUUUUGGUUUGGAUCUCAGCUGGGUUUCAGGUUUGUGUUCGCGGAUUGCUUAUUAUGUGGCUUAAAGACAACUCACUCUCAAAGAGUGAUAAGAAGAACUUUACACUCCAUUUUUCCACAACAGCUUGACAGAUUUGGAAUAAUAAUAGAAAUCGCUUCAUUCAUUUCGGUAAUUACUCUGACCAAGCUUCAUCUGAUCUGUAUGUUACAAGGGUGAGCAGGCUGAUAUAUCAGGUGAUGGAGAUGGCGGACCUCAGCGAUUCAAGUCCGGUUCCCAGGACAGACACAGCAAUGAUGGCGCACACUGCAACAUAUAAUGGUGGACGGUGCUUUUUCAUCUAAUAGCUAGCGCACACUGCAUCGUCGCUGACUUUGAAGUCAAGAAGAUGUUCUAUUUUUGCUGAGGUUCAUUUUUAGCUACAUCUAUGGGUUUGGACUUUGGACUGUGCUGUUGUGGAAUCUGAUUGUCAAGUUCUAGUUCUUGUUAGAUGUUUAAGCAAUCCAAAUAGCUCUCUACUCCGAGUGAAAUCUGGGUCUGGCCAAUAGUUAAGGGCAUGACGAGAAGCAACGUUUCUUGGAAAAUCAUGUUAGCAGAGAAUCAAGUCCUAGGACUCUUAGCUUGGCUGUGUUAAAGGGGAAUGGCGUUACACUACACGCCUCCUAUUUGGCUUUUAGAUUCUUAUGCUUAAUGUUUCGUUCAUCAAUAACAGGAAAAUACAACAGCCCUUCGGAGAUAAUGUUCUAAGAAA